rnacentral:rRNA from 1 species
CCUACGCGUGGCAGCAGUGGGGAAUAUUGCACAAUGGGGGAAACUCUGAUGCAGCGACGUCGCGUGAGUGAAGAAGUAAUUCGUUAUGUAAAGCUCUAUCAGCAGGGAAGAAAAUGACGGUACCUGAGUAAGAAGCCCCGGCGAACUACGUGACAGCAGCCGCGGUAAUACGUAGGGGGCAAGCGUUAUCCGGAUUUGCUGGGUGUGAAGGGAGCGUAGACGGCAGUGCAAGUCUGGAGUGAAAGGCGGGGGCUCAACCCCCGGACUGCUCUUGAAACUGUACGGCUGGAGUGCAGGAGAGGUAAGUGGAAUUCCUAGUGUAGCGGUGAAAUGCGUAGAUAUUAGGAGGAACACCAGUGGCGAAGGCGGCUGACUGGACUGUAACUGACGUUGAGGCUCGAAAGCGUGGGGAGCAAACAGGAUUAGAUACCCCUGUAGUC